rnacentral:rRNA from 1 species
GAAUAUUGGACAAUGGGGGGAACCCUGACCCAGCCAUGCCGCGUGUGUGAAGAAGGCCUUUUGGUUGUAAAGCACUUUACGCGAGGAGGAGGGGCCCUUGGUUACUACCCAAGAUGCUCGGACGUUACUCGCAGAAUAAGCCCCGGCCAACUCUGUGCCAGACGCCGCGGUAAUACAGAGGGUGCAAUCGUUAAUCGGAUUUACUGGGCGGAAAGCGGGCGUAGGUGGCCAAUUAAGUCAAAUGUGAAAUCCCCGAGCUUAACUUGGGAAUUGCAUUCGAUACUGGUUGGCUAGAGUAUGGGAGAGGAUGGUAGAAUUCCAGGUGUAGCGGUGAAAUGCGUAGAGAUCUGGAGGAAUACCGAUGGCGAAGGCAGCCAUCUGGCCUAAUACUGACACUGAGGUGCGAAAGCAUGGGGAGCAAACA